rnacentral:rRNA from 1 species
GAGAGUCGGUUAGUCGAUACGAGCGCAACCCCUUAUCCUUAGUUGCCAGCACGUAAUGGUGGGGACUCUAGGGAAACUGCCCGGGAUAACCGGAAGGAAGGUGGGGUCGACGUCAAGUCAGUAUGUCCCUUACGUUCAGGGCUACACACGUAAUACAAUGGGGAGUACAGAGGGUAGCAAUACUGCGAAGUGGAGCCAAUCCCAAAAAACUUCCCCAAGUUCGGAUUGCAGUCUGCAACUCGACUGCAUGAAGCAGGAAUCGCUAGUAAUCGCGCAUCAGCAUGGCGCGGUGAAUACGUUCCCGGGUCUUGUACACACCGCCCGUCACGCCAUGGAAGCCGGUAGCACCCAAUGUCAGUGUCCUAACCUUCGGGGAGGAGCUGCUUAAGGUGAGAUUGGUAACUGGGGCGAAGUCGUAACAAGGUAGCCGUACCGGAAGGUGCGGCUGGAUUACCUCCUUUCU